rnacentral:rRNA from 1 species
UUUUAUGGAGAGUUUGAUCCUGGCUCAGGAUGAACGCUGGCGGCGUGCCUAAUACAUGCAAGUCGAGCGAACGGACGAGAAGCUUGCUUCUCUGAUGUUAGCGGCGGACGGGUGAGUAACACGUGGAUAACCUACCUAUAAGACUGGGAUAACUUCGGGAAACCGGAGCUAAUACCGGAUAAUAUUUUGAACCGCAUGGUUCAAAAGUGAAAGACGGUCUUACUGUCACUUAUAGAUGGAUCCGCGCUGCAUUAGCUAGUUGGUAAGGUAACGGCUUACCAAGGCAACGAUGCAUAGCCGACCUGAGAGGGUGAUCGGCCACACUGGAACUGAGACACGGUCCAGACUCCUACGGGAGGCAGCAGUAGGGAAUCUUCCGCAAUGGGCGAAAGCCUGACGGAGCAACGCCGCGUGAGUGAUGAAGGUCUUCGGAUCGUAAAACUCUGUUAUUAGGGAAGAACAUAUGUGUAAGUAACUGUGCACAUCUUGACGGUACCUAAUCAGAAAGCCACGGCUAACUACGUGCCAGCAGCCGCGGUAAUACGUAGGUGGCAAGCGUUAUCCGGAAUUAUUGGGCGUAAAGCGCGCGUAGGCGGUUUUUUAAGUCUGAUGUGAAAGCCCACGGCUCAACCGUGGAGGGUCAUUGGAAACUGGAAAACUUGAGUGCAGAAGAGGAAAGUGGAAUUCCAUGUGUAGCGGUGAAAUGCGCAGAGAUAUGGAGGAACACCAGUGGCGAAGGCGACUUUCUGGUCUGUAACUGACGCUGAUGUGCGAAAGCGUGGGGAUCAAACAGGAUUAGAUACCCUGGUAGUCCACGCCGUAAACGAUGAGUGCUAAGUGUUAGGGGGUUUCCGCCCCUUAGUGCUGCAGCUAACGCAUUAAGCACUCCGCCUGGGGAGUACGACCGCAAGGUUGAAACUCAAAGGAAUUGACGGGGACCCGCACAAGCGGUGGAGCAUGUGGUUUAAUUCGAAGCAACGCGAAGAACCUUACCAAAUCUUGACAUCCUUUGACAACUCUAGAGAUAGAGCCUUCCCCUUCGGGGGACAAAGUGACAGGUGGUGCAUGGUUGUCGUCAGCUCGUGUCGUGAGAUGUUGGGUUAAGUCCCGCAACGAGCGCAACCCUUAAGCUUAGUUGCCAUCAUUAAGUUGGGCACUCUAAGUUGACUGCCGGUGACAAACCGGAGGAAGGUGGGGAUGACGUCAAAUCAUCAUGCCCCUUAUGAUUUGGGCUACACACGUGCUACAAUGGACAAUACAAAGGGCAGCGAAACCGCGAGGUCAAGCAAAUCCCAUAAAGUUGUUCUCAGUUCGGAUUGUAGUCUGCAACUCGACUACAUGAAGCUGGAAUCGCUAGUAAUCGUAGAUCAGCAUGCUACGGUGAAUACGUUCCCGGGUCUUGUACACACCGCCCGUCACACCACGAGAGUUUGUAACACCCGAAGCCGGUGGAGUAACCUUUUAGGAGCUAGCCGUCGAAGGUGGGACAAAUGAUUGGGGUGAAGUCGUAACAAGGUAGCCGUAUCGGAAGGUGCGGCUGGAUCACCUCCUUUCUAA